GAAGGCGGGGUCGGCGCUGCCGGGUGAAAUCGUAGGACAGUGAAGAUGCUGCUGGAAUUGUCCGAGGAGCAUAAGGAACACCUGGCCUUCCUGCCUCAAGUGGACAGCGCGGUGGUCGCCGAGUUUGGGCGGAUUGCUGUGGAAUUCCUGAGACGCGGCGCAAACCCAAAAAUCUACGAAGGCGCCGCCAGAAAACUCAAUGUGAGUAGUGACACUGUCCAGCAUGGUGUGGAAGGAUUAACGUAUCUCCUCACUGAGAGCUCAAAGCUCAUGGUAAGGGAUUUUCUGGACUGUUUUGUGUUGGCUGGAUUCUUAAGAACGGUCUGGUGUACUCUACAUCAUAGUCCUGGCAGAUUUCUGAACUGGAUUUCCAAGACUCUGUUUUUGUUCUGGGAUUCUCUGAAGAAUUAAACAAAUUGUUGCUUCAGCUUUAUCUGGACAACAGAAAAGAGAUCAGAACGAUUCUGAGUGAAUUGGCACCAAGCCUUCCCAGUUAUCAUAACCUUGAAUGGCGACUAGAUGUACAGCUUGCAAGUAGAAGUCUCAGGCAACAGAUUAAACCAGCAGUGACUAUAAAGCUACACCUUAAUCAAAAUGGAGAUCACAACACCAAAGUUCUGCAGACAGACCCAGCCACCCUGCUCCAUUUGGUUCAACAACUGGAACAAGCAUUGGAAGAGAUGAAGACAAAUCACUGUAGGAGAGUUGUUCGCAACAUCAAGUAGUACCAGUUUUAAGGUUUUAAUUCAUUUGAAUCACUUAUGAAUUGAUGAUAUACAGCAAUUACUUUUCAAAAUUAAUUUUUUAUUAAUUCAUGAUGAUAAAUACAUAGUAUUCCUCAGUAUCUAUUCCAAGAUACUGAGGUCAUAAUCAGAAGCUAAGCUGGGUGCAGUGGCUCAUGCCAGUUAUCCCAGCACUUUGGGAGGCCGAGGUGGGCAAAUCAUGAGGUCAGGAGAUUGAGACCUUCCUGGCUAACAUGGUGAAACCCCAUCUCUACUAAAAAUAUAAAAAAUUAGCCAGGUGUGGUGGCACGCAUCUAUCAGAGUCCCAGCUACUCAGGAGGCUGAGGCAGGAGAAUCGCUUGAACCUGGGAGGUGGAGGUUGCAGUGAGCUGAGAUUGUGCCACUGCACUCCAGCCUGGGUGACAGAGUGAGACUCCAUCUCAAAAAUAAUAAUAAUAAUAAUAAAGUAAAAAUAAAAAUAAAAAAGUAAUCAGAAGCUAAAGUAAAGUUCCUUUCCUGGUGCUAACUGUGGUCUUCUUGACACAUUAAGAUGUAUUUUGUAUUUUAAGAGUCUCAUGCUCUACCGUUGGAACUAGCCAGAUGGCCAUUAUUUUGUAUUUUAAAUACAUAAAUAGGAUUGAAUCAACUAGAAAUGAAUCUAUAUGUUCUGUAUAUAUGAAUGACUAUCUUGUUUUUGCUACUUCUUUUGACUGCUUAAUUUUAUUAUUUUCAUCUUUAUUGAUCAAAUUUGAAAAUAAAAUUCACAAUGUAAUACUACUACUAUGCAGAAUUUUCUAAACAGUUCAGUAUUUUUGACUUUUAAAAACACCCCACAGUGUUAAUAGCCACAGAAUAUUGAACAUCAAUAGGAUUUUUAAUGCUAUAUUGUUAUAGGCAGUUUAUUCAUUUUUCUUUGUAUAUGAAGAUGAUAAGUAUCAUAUUGCCUAAGUUUGAGUGAUCAUGGUUAAUUAAUUGGCUUAAAUAGUACUCAAAUUUGUGUGGUCGUAUAUUGUAUUUUAUCAAGGACUAAUUCUUCCACCAUACCCAAAGCAUCUAGGAGACACUCUGUCAUUUACAUUUACAAAUAAUGGAUGCAGAGAAAUAUAAUCAAUUCUUGAUUGUCCUGGAUACAAAUUAUAGUCACUUUUUAUAAUUUGAAUAAACUAUGAUGAGGGAAGGAAGGCCAUGUUUAUUACAUUAUAGGCAACUAUCCCUUCUCAAAACAUAACUUGAUUUAUGUUUUGUUUUAUUUUUUAGUAGGGAACCAAAAGCUUUUGGUCUGAAAAACUCAGGUGCUGAUUUGUCAGGUCAGCCUGAGAGAGUGCAGAGAUACUGAGGUCAGCUUAGGGAGAAGAAUUGUAUGGAAGGGUGGAAAUGAGGGUUCAGUCUUAACUAUGUGUCCAAGACCUUAUCCUGAGAGUCUUCAUGGAAUAAUCUAGAAAGGGCUGUAGAAGCAAUCAAACUCUAAACUGCGCUCUAGACUUUGUCAAUACUUUGCUUCGUAAGAAUUAGGGAUUUUCAUAUCAGAGUGAUACCAUGUUGCAAUCUCUUUAGAGAAGAGAGAGCCUAGCAGGGAAUAGGCUAGUGGAAGAAAAACAUACUUGAGAUGGUUACCCAUUGGUCCCUGCAGGCAUCUGGGCCACCCUUUUCCUGUAGGUAUAUAUUCUGCCGUUGUGAAACAACUAUAUUAUUAGAUGUCAGCAAACUAUAAUCAGAAAUAAUUUUUAAUUAUAGUGGCAACUUGAUUAAUGAAGCUCUCAUAUACAACCUCACAAACAAAAAGAAACUUUAUUACGUGAAAUAGUAGCAUAUGUCAUUGGGUUUAAAAGCAACAUGCCUGCAAAACAUAUGAUAAAAAAUACCUCUGUAAGGGUUUUUAUUUGUCCACCUUCGAUGGAAGGUAAACAUGGCUGAUCCCAGCCAAGAUGAAACAAUAGCCCUUUGUCUCCUCAGAACAACCUAUCUCCAACUCUUUGUCCACUGUUCUUACCCCAAUUAAAACAAGAAAGCAUGUGCUAAUCCUUUUUUAAUUUUUAUCAACCUGCCUUGGCCUCCUUUCACUGUACUCCAUUAUUCCUUCUGUGAUGUUCUACCUUCUUCACCUUUUGAGACCAGGGUGAGUUGGGAGCAGUUUGCCUACCUUCUUUUAGAAUCUGGGGCUUAUCUUUUAGUACAAGCCAUUGAAUAAGCCUCUUCCUUUUUUUUGCUCAAACAUUCCACAUCCUUGUGGAUUCCCCUGCAUUGUUUGUUUUAUAUAACAUUUGAUAUUUGUUGUAGCUUGUAUAUGAACAUAAUUUUCUUUAGAGGUAGUCACUGUUCUCUCCAGUAUGACCCAGGUUUCUUGACUCUGAGUAAUGCACCUUCUAUAACUAUCUAAAUUUCUAUUGAAGCUUUUUGGAUUAUGAGUAUGCUGACUUUUCACGAUUGGCUGGUGCAUGUUUAGACUUAAAUGUCAUAUCCUUCAUGUCUCAAAGCCAAAAUAGUAACAUCUCAUCUCAGAACAGAGCUGUGACCACAUGCCAAUAUAUGUGUCACAAAGUCUACAUAUGUUACAUUCCUUGGAAGUCUCCUUAAAUGUUUCACAAAAUGUCAACAAGCUUGUUUUGUUAUUGAUAUUUCCGAGAUUGGGCACAUUUAAGACAGUAAACGGGAAAGGUGGUGAAGAUGCUAUAAGAAGAUGCUGUAUCUUGAGAAUUGAAAAAUGAGAAUCUGACAUGGUUUGAAAAAUCAUGAAGGGUAUAUAUAAAGGAUGCAUGUGUAGGAGCCAUUAAAAUUCAUAACAGUAUGUGCCCCUUCAGCGUUUUAAUCUUAUGAAGUGGUUAAGAGAUAAGUCUUCGGAGUUGGACAAAAGGAUUUGAAUUUAGGUUCUGUGGAUUAUUAUGGGUCCUUGAUAAAUUCUCAAAGCCUUUUUUUUUGUUCAUCUCUAAAAUAGGAAUAUAGGAUUACCUACCACAUUGACUCGUAAGGACUAUAUGAGACCAUGUAUAUAGAAUGUUUAACAUAGUACCAGGCUUUACAAAGAACUCAAUAAAUGUUUACCAUUAUUGAAAUA